UUGGAGAUGUUGGGAAACUAGCAUACGGUGACCAGACGUCCCGGUUUGUCCGGGACUGUCCUGGUUUCAAGCUGGGUGUCCCGAGUCCCGACAAAUAUCUGUAAAACACUAAAAUCUUCCCGGUUUUCAACAGUCACUAACAAAUUUAGUUUUCUCUACAAUUAAAAUAAUAACAAUAUUAUACUUAUUAUAAUAUUAUACUUACAUGGGAGAUUAGAAUUCCCUGAGUUAUAAGCAUUCACUUCAAUUACGGGACCCACAAACAAUAAAACCUUAUUGAGUUGGAGUUUCAUGGAUGUGGAGCUGAUGCUUCUGCUUGAACCAAUGAAUCCUUGACAGCUGAUAUGUUAAACCAAGUGAUUCUUGGUGUACAUGUGUGUCCAGCUACCAUGCAGGAUUUGUGGUGUGUGUGAAAGUUAAUUCCUGUGAGAACUUCCCACCUGUAUAGUGGUCAGCACAGCACUACUUUCUUUCCUACAAGACUAAAUAAGGAGUUGCACUUUCGGUGCACGCAAACACACACACACAC